rnacentral:rRNA from 1 species
CUGCUGCCUUCCGUAGGAGUCUGGGCCGUGUCUCAGUACCAGUGUGGGGGACCUUCCUCUCAGAACCCCUACGCAUCGCCGCCACGGUGGGCCGUUACCCCGCCGUCUAGCUAAUGCGCCGCAUGCCCAUCCUCUUCCGAUGAAUCUUUCCUCGAUCUCGGAUGCCCGAAACCGAUAUACGCGGGAUUAGCCUCCCUUUCGGAAGGUUGUCCCCCUGAAGAGGGCAGGUUGCAUACGUGUUACUCACCCGUGCGCCGGUCGCCGG